CCUACGGGAGGCAGCAGUGGGGAAUAUUGGACAAUGGGCGAAAGCCUGAUCCAGCCAUGCCGCGUGUGUGAAGAAGGCCUUCGGGUUGUAAAGCACUUUCAGUGGGGAAGAAAGCCUUGGGGCUAAUACCCUCGAGGAAGGACAUCACCCACAGAAGAAGCACCGGCUAACUCCGUGCCAGCAGCCGCGGUAAUACGGAGGGUGCGAGCGUUAAUCGGAAUUACUGGGCGUAAAGCGCGCGUAGGCGGUCUGAUAAGCCGGUUGUGAAAGCCCCGGGCUCAACCUGGGAACGGCAUCCGGAACUGUCAGGCUAGAGUGCAGGAGAGGAAGGUAGAAUUCCCGGUGUAGCGGUGAAAUGCGUAGAGAUCGGGAGGAAUACCAGUGGCGAAGGCGGCCUUCUGGACUGACACUGACGCUGAGGUGCGAAAGCGUGGGAAGCAAACAGGAUUAGAUACCCCAGUAGUC
rnacentral:rRNA from 1 species